CUUGACUGUAGCUUGGAAUUGGGUUCGGGCUCUUCUUGCGCAGCCUAGGUGGGAGGCGUUGAAGGUUUUCUUUCGGGGAAACUGGAGCCAACAGUGAGAGACCACUCUGGAGGAGCUAGAAUUCUAAUGGCGUUCCUUGAAGCAGGACGCUUGACAGUUUCAGGUGGGCAGUUUGACUGGGGCGGUCACCUCCUAAAAGGUAACGGAGGUGUGCAAAGGUUCCCUCAGGCUGGACGGAAAUCAGCCGGAGAGUGUAAAGGCAGAAGGGAGCUUGACUGCAAGACCUACAAGUCGAGCAGGGGCGAAAGCCGGCCUUAGUGAUCCGACGGCUUGUGCGUGGAAAUGCCGUCGCUCAACGGAUAAAAGUUA
rnacentral:rRNA from 1 species